rnacentral:rRNA from 1 species
UACAGAGGUCUCAAGCGUUGUUCGGAUUCAUUGGGCGUAAAGGGUGCGUAGGCGGCGCGGUAAGUCGGGUGUGAAAUCUCGGAGCUUAACUCCGAAACUGCAUUCGAUACUGCCGUGCUUGAGGACUGGAGAGGAGACUGGAAUUUACGGUGUAGCGGUGAAAUGCGUAGAUAUCGUAAGGAACACCGGUGGCGAAAGCGGCUCACUGGAUCUCUUCUGACGCUGAGGCACGAAAGCUAGGGUAGCAAACGGG